rnacentral:rRNA from 1 species
CCUACGGGGGGCAGCAGUGGGGAAUAUUGCGCAAUGGGCGAAAGCCUGACGCAGCGACGCCGCGUGAGGGAUGAAGGUCUUCGGAUCGUAAACUUCUGUCAGCAGGGAAGAACGGUCACUGUGCUAAUCAGCAGUGAAUUGACGGUACCUGCAAAGGAAGCACCGGCUAACUCCGUGCCAGCCGCCGCGGUAAUACGGAGGGUGCGAGCGUUAAUCGGAAUUACUGGGCGUAAAGCGCUCGUAGGCGGUAUGUCAAGUCAAGGGUGAAAUCCCCGCGCUCAACGUGGGAACUGCCUUUGAAACUGGCAAACUGGAGUGUGUGAGAGGGUAGUGGAAUUCCAGGUGUAGGAGUGAAAUCCGUAGAUAUCUGGAGGAACACCAGUGGCGAAGGCGACUAUCUGGCACAUAACUGACGCUGAGGAGCGAAAGCGUGGGUAGCAAACAGGAUUAGAUACCCUUGUAGUC